rnacentral:rRNA from 1 species
AACGAACGCUGGCGGCGUGGAUAAGACAUGCAAGUCGAACGGGAUAUUUUUGUAGCAAUACCGAAAUGUUCAGUGGCGAACGGGUGCGUAACACGUGGGUAACAUGCCGGGAAGAGGAGAAUAGCCCAGGGAAACUUGGAUUAAUGCUCCAUGUGGUCGCAAGACUAAAGACGGGGUAACCUGUCGCUUCCUGAUUGGCCCGCGGCCUAUCAGCUAGUUGGCGAGGUAACGGCUCACCAAGGCAACGACGGGUAGCUGGUCUGAGAGGAUGACCAGCCACACUGGAACUGAGACACGGUCCAGACACCUACGGGUGGCAGCAGUCGAGAAUCUUUCACAAUGGGGGCAACCCUGAUGGAGCGACGCCGCGUGGAGGAUAAGGUCUUCGGAUUGUAAACUCCUGUCAUGCGAGAGUAAGGCCCCGCGUUAACUGCGUGUGGGAUUGACAGUACCGCAAGAGGAAGAGACGGCUAACUCUGUGCCAGCCGCCGCGGUAAGAC